UCGGCACGUGACCAGUCCCCGCCAAUGAAACGUCAGGAAAGAUCAGCGGAGGUUCUGGGGAGGCCUCGGACACGACUGGCCUGGGGGUGACGCGCGCAGGGAGAUGGGAGGUGGCGGCCCGAGAGAAGAGGCUGCUCCUGCACCCGGGAACCCCAGUCGCUCCCUGCUCUUUGCCACGCAGAACUGGGGGUGUGUUGGUGGCCCGCGAGGGACCGAACAGGUUUCAGCUCCUUGCGGCAGAAACCCCCAGACGGACAGCAAGCAACGUGUGUCCGUCGGCGGGGAGUGCUGCGCGACACGUGUGUGCGGCGGGAUACAGCAGAGCCAUGGCAAAGAAUGGCCACGAGGUGACCUCGUGUCCUGAGAGACACCCAGCCGCGGGAGAUGCUGUCGGUUCUCAAUGAUUCUGCCCCCGAGCUGUCCCCCUCCCCGGGGACUCUUAGCAAUGCCUGGAGACACUUCUGGAGGAACGCCACCAGCAGAUAGAGGCCAGCGGCACUACCCAACAUCCUGCAGUGCAGAAGACAGCCCCACAACAAAGAAUUCUCCUGCCCAAAAUGUCAGUGGUGCCAAGGUUGAGAACCUCUGUGUUAUAUGAGAAACAACAACCCGAUAGGAUAUGGUAGAAUUCCA